GUGGGGAAUAUUGGGCAAUGGGGGAAACCCUGACCCAGCGACGCCGCGUGAGGGAAGAAGGCCUUAGGGUCGUAAACCUCUGUUGUGUGGGAAGAAGAGCGUGACGGUACCACACGAGGAAGUCCCGGCUAACUACGUGCCAGCAGCCGCGGUAAUACGUAGGGGACGAGCGUUGUCCGGAUUUACUGGGCGUAAAGGGCGCGUAGGCGGUCAUUUAAGUCAGCUGUGAAAUGGUUUGGCUUAACCGGAUCAUGCGGUUGAAACUGGAUGACUGGAGUGCUGGAGAGGCAAGUGGAAUUCCCAGUGUAGCGGUGAAAUGCGUAGAUAUUGGGAAGAACACCGGUGGCGAAGGCGACUUGCUGGCCAGCAACUGACGCUGAGGCGCGAAAGCCAGGGGAGCAAACGGGAUUAGAAACCCGGGUAGUCC
rnacentral:rRNA from 1 species